UACAGAGGGUGCAAGCGUUGUUCGGAAUUAUUGGGCGUAAAGGGAGUGUAGGCGGCUAGGAAAGUCUUCUGUGAAAUCUACGGGCUCAGCCUGUAACGUACAGAGGAAACUAUCUGGCUAGAGUGUCGGAGAGGAUAGGGGAAUACCCGGUGUAGAGGUGAAAUUCGUAGAGAUCGGGUGGAACACCAGUGGCGAAGGCACCUGUCUGGCUGACAACUGACGCUGAGACUCGAAAGCAUGAGGAGCAAACAGG
rnacentral:rRNA from 1 species